rnacentral:ncRNA from 2 species
UAGUGACACUAGGGGAGCAUGAAAAUGCUGAGAGAGAAAUUGACCCUUUGAACCUGAUUCAGUUAAUACUGACGUAGGGAAGUGUGCUUAAUUUAAU